GCUCGCAUGCCCGCUGGGGAGCUGCUGAGAUGGAGCGGGUGGAGAGCUGCUCCGUCACCUCCCCUCCUCCCUGCCUGCUGCAGCAACGUGAGCAAGUGCAGGGCUGUCACAGUUCCUCUGCUCAGUGUCGCUGGGAGAUUGUGUCAUAGCUCAUCUCAAUCUUCUGCGGAUUUUUGCAUAAAUGUCAAGUGGACAUUCCUUGUAGCCCUUCACAGCUUCAGAAAUACAGAAGCUGCAGAAGUGCAAGAAGACCCUGUGCUCUACACUUAUUCUGCAUUGUCAGGAAACUACUCAGUCACUAAACGUGGAUAUGAAAUAUUCUUUUCUCUACUGCCUUGAUUCAGACAGCCUUGUACUCAGCAAUGGUUUUGUGAACAUAUUGCCACAGCAGCACCCAAGAAAUACAAUGCUGACUGAUGUGAAACUCAUCACGGAUACAGGCCUGAGUAAGGGACACUACAUCCUUUUCAUCAUUUUAAACCCUGACCUGAGUGUUUGGUUUAUUUUUUGGUAACCUGUCUGAUUAUUGAAUACUCUUCAGGUUAUUUUACUGUUUAGAACACAAUGCAAAUAGAAGGGAGACUGACACAGAAAUUAUUUAAAUGAAACACUCAAGCAUGUGUAUGAGGAUAUGUGGGUGAAAUACGUUCUAACAUCACUGGAAGGGUCACGAUAUUGCAGUUACUUGAACCUGACAUACCAUAAGGUAGAUGACUUUUCACUUUUCUAAGUUAGAAAUAUCUUGUUCUGUGAAACUAAAGUAGCAUUAAAAAGAUCUCAUCUCAUGAGACAAAAUGCAUUUUUUAUUGGGGCUAUAUUUGAUAUCCUUCCUUAUCACUGUGGAGGCUUCAGAAUUCAUGACACCUCAAUUGCAAAGAAGGUAUGUGUUUGCCAGUGCUUGCUGGUUUAGUGCUGACUGAAGCUGUUUGUAACUAUAGAGAGUGCCACAGCACAGAGGGGAACAUUUCUAUUCCAGAAGUAGAGAUAGCCUCAACCUGAAGCAAGGUAUGUGCCCAGCAUAUGGUAAUGAACUUAUAGCAAUAUUAAAUUAUCCUGAAUACUUUUCCACAGCUAAUGAAUCUAGCUCUGAAACUUCUGCACAAAAAUACAUAUAUAGGUAGAUAGAUAAGCCCAAGCCCCUGUGUUAAUCCAAGGAGAACAUGAAAAAAAUAAAACAUUCAAAAGAAAUUUCUUAUUUUAUUUGUAUAGAUAAAUGCCCCUGAAUGAUGCCAAACAUGUUGGUGAGACAAUAUGAUGUCAAAUAAUGUCAUCCAGUUCCAGUUUUCUUCAGAACAUCAGUUUUGUGUAACUAUUGAUUGGUAUGGAUAACAAAAAUCAGUAAAAUCAGCGGCAGAAAAAUGAACAAUAUACUGCCUAUUUUAAGGGCAUUUUUUUCCUAGAUUUUUAAUCCUGGAAAAUCCCUUUGAGAAUGAAAAAGAACACAAUAGCAAAACAGAACUUCAUCUGUAUUUCUCUUAAUUGACACUAGAAAAUUUUAGGGAUUCUAUGGAGCUUACCGGAGUGCCAUUCUUGCACAUGACCUGAGCUAUGUACAACACAAGUGCUAUGAAUACUGCAUAAAACAUCCUUCUAUUCUGUCCUGAUUUAAAGCACAGAACAUGCAAGUGAAGACAAACGUAUGAGUACCUCUAAAACGUGUGAUUUAAAUCCAGAUACUCUGUUUAUUCUCUAACUCAAUCCAAUGACAGUAGGAGGUUUCUCAGGGAAAGCCCUGACAACCAGGAUUUGUAGCUGUCCUGUUUGCUAAACUGCCAAGUGAUGUCUUUCAGACUGGACUGCUAUUAACAACAGAAUAAAUAUUGAACAUAUGAUAACUUCAGCUACUUCUGUAAAAAGCAGUCUUGAAAAACUGAUUGGUUGUAUUGUUUUGAUGGAUUUUUUCAUCUAUGCAUUUACUCAUGCAUUUCCUCUCUGAAUCAUCCAAAUGUAACUCAGGAAAUUGAUCCUACUGUAGAGGCAGGAAACUUCUACAAUGACUAAUGUGGCAUUCAGGUCAAGAACUCUGUCAUUCAGGGGGAAAGAAUAAGAAAAAAAAAG